rnacentral:lncRNA from 1 species
GCCGAUACUUUAAAAUACCCUACUUUUGCACAUAUAAAUGCUAUUAAUCUUAAAUUAUUUCAUUCGUCCCAUAUUGUACACUCAUUUCUUUUGCAUAUAUGUUUGGUGACAAUGAUAGGUGACUAGAAAUCAGUAAUUAUAAUUAAAACGGCAAUUAUCCUUAUCCCACACAUCUUCGAAUGGACUGUCCUUAUGCAAAAUUGAAACGUAAGCUACGCCCGAUCAUUAAUAGUUAUCCCACGAUGACGCGGUGUGUCAGUGUAAGAUCACCCCGAUGGCCGGAGGCCAUAGGGUGAUCUAACACUGACACACCAAGUCCGAGUGGGAUAACUAUUUUACAUCCCAGCUGUUUUAGAUUAGACGAAAAACCAUUUACAAUUCAUAAAAUCUAGUUUAGAACGC